GGCGCGCGGGCGGGAGGCCGCGGCGCUGGAGCCUCGGAAGCCUCUGGAAGCCUCUGGAACCCGAUGGAUACAGACAUCCGUUCUUUGCAAACGCUCCUAUAUAUAAUUUCAUUUCUUGGACUCCUCGGCGCUACCUUGUGAACUUCUGAGUGUGAUACCACCACACAAACGACAAAAGUAACUCAAGCCAGUUUCUUCUGGAGAGGCGAGAGCAGGAGACGAGGGACUCAAGAAGGGGGAACCGCCCUGACUGCGUGGUCACCAGGAAGGCACAACUGCCAGGAGCUUCAUUCUUCAGCUGAAUAUUUUAAGAGUAACUUCACUUAAGGGAGGAAGACGUUUGCUCUCAGAGACAAGACUUGCGAGUCGCUGCUCAGGAGCUUGCUGGGAGACGCUGUGACCCAAACAGCGGUCUCGCUGACACCAAGUGACGUGGUGUUUAUAAUCGGGACACGGAGGUUUUGACUAGCCCACUUCCACCCAUGCGGGACAGAUUUGUUUGACUCGAUCGCUGGACCAUAGGAUCUUCAAAGACAGGGGCAUCUUAUUUUCUCUGAAUUUCAGCUCCUCCUGCUUUGAACAGACCCUUGCCUGAAGCAGCUGGUCCACACGCACCUUCCUGCGAGCUCCCAACGUGCCCAAACAGGUGGACGGAACAUUCUGUAACAAUCCUGGGCUUUCGUGUCCGCCUGAUGCUCCUCCGUAGAGGCAACAGUAACAGCAAACCAAAGAAAAGAAGAUGACACACACGCGUGUCCACAGGCGGGGCGUGGGGACGCGAACGGCGCGCGGCAUUGACAGAGAACAAAGCCCCGAGGAGCCGCCGGGCGCCGAGAGGCAGCGCUGAGUGUAGCCUGACGCCACUGUUAAAUAAAGCUCAAAAAUAAGCAAAAUAACACAGUCGUCAGAAAUU